UACGUAGGGUGCGAGCGUUGUCCGGAAUUACUGGGCGUAAAGAGCUCGUAGGUGGUUUGUCGCGUUGUUCGUGAAAACCGGGGGCUUAACCCUCGGCGUGCGGGCGAUACGGGCAGACUGGAGUACUGCAGGGGAGACUGGAAUUCCUGGUGUAGCGGUGGAAUGCGCAGAUAUCAGUAGGAACACCGGUGGCGAAGGCGGGUCUCUGGGCCGAUACUGACGCUGAGGAGCGAAAGCGUGGGGAGCGAACAGG
rnacentral:rRNA from 1 species